rnacentral:rRNA from 1 species
GUAGGGUGCAAGCGUUAUCCGGAAUCAUUGGGCGUAAAGAGCUCGUAGGCGGUUCAGCAAGUCGGCUGUGAAAUCCCGAGGCUUAACCUCGGAACUGCAGUCGAUACUGCUGUGACUAGAGUCCGGUAGAGGAGAAUGGAAUUCCCGGUGUAGCGGUGAAAUGCGCAGAUAUCGGGAGGAACACCAGUAGCGAAGGCGGUUCUCUGGGCCGGUACUGACGCUGAGGAGCGAAAGCGUGGGGUAGCAAACAGGAUUAGAUACCCUGGUAGUCCACGCCGUAAACGUUGGACACUAGGUGUGGCGUUCCGACCAACGGGUGCCGUGCCGAAGCUAACGCAUUAAGUGUCCCCGCCUGGGGAGUACGGCCGCAAGGCUA